rnacentral:ncRNA from 1 species
CUGCCCCCGACCAAGCGGGACCUGGACAAGGGAGCCGUACCCGGACAGCGACAAGACGGCCUGAA